CUCCCACCCCAUGUUGUCGCGAACUUACGUUGCCUCGGCGGGCCCGCCCCCAGCGGGCCCCCCGGCCCCAGGGUCGGGGCAGCGCCCGCCGACGGUCCACACACACAACUCUUUGUUUGACAAUGCAGUCCGAGCAAAAAUUCUUAAUGAAUCAAAACUUUCAACAACGGAUCUCUUGGUUCUGGCAUCGAUGAAGAACGCAGCGAAAUGCGAUAAGUAAUGUGAAUUGCAGAAUUCAGUGAAUCAUCGAAUCUUUGAACGCACAUUGCGCCCCUUGGUAUUCCGAGGGGCAUGCCUGUCCGAGCGUCAGUUCAACAAUCAAGCAACGCUUGGUGUUGGGCCCGCGGCCCCUCCCCAGCGGAGGGGCCCGCCCGAAACGCAUCGGCGAGGAGACCGACCCCCGGCGUCUUGAGAAUCUCACGGUUCGCACGUCGGGAGCACCGGUGGCCUCCGCCGCAACCAACGAAUCUUUUCAAUGGUUGACCUCGGAUCAGGUAGGGAUACCCGCUGAACUUAAGCAUAUC
rnacentral:rRNA from 1 species